UUUACUUUUCAUUCAUAUAUAAUAUGAACAUAUAAUUAUUGACAAUAAUGCACCUCACACUAAAUUAUGAUUAAUAUUAUUGUUUAUUUGGAGCUGUAUAUUAUUUCCUUUACUUUUCUUUCUAGGUUUAUUUCUCACUAUAUAUCAACUACUCAUGUCUAUCCAAGUAGAAUCUUGUUAUGCCUUUUCUCACUAGUAAAUUAUAUGGUGUAUAUUAUUGUAGGAUCUACUUGUAGCAGGUACAGAUACAACAACAUAUGGAUUAGAAAGAGCAAUGACUGAAGUACUCCACAAUCCAGAGGUUAUGUCCAAAGCCAAACAAGAGUUGGAACAAAACAUUGGAAGAGUAAUCAUCUUACAAUAAGAGGUGCUUUCGUUAGAGGAAUUGGGAGCUUGCAUAAUUUGUUGCAUUGAGAAGUUUUUGCAAAGUUGUGAGGAUUUAUCAUUAUGAAGUUCUAAAGAUGUAUAGUCGAGACAUUGAAAUUAUUGGUGUUAG